rnacentral:misc_RNA from 1 species
UUUCCUUUCUUCCUUCCCUUCUAAGUCAAUCUUUUCUUGCAUUUUUAUCGAAAAAAGCUUUUCUUGCUUUUCAUUUUCCCCUUGCUAGUUCAAAUAGAGUAUCUCAAAAAUCUAAGGUGCUCUGUUUUGCCUUUCAAUUCGCUGAUUAAGAACUAGUGAUUUUUCUCUAUAUGGAUGUUGUACCUCACUGCACUUGUACCCAAAAUCAAUCCGGUUCGGAUCCAUGCCACAUAUGCGGCGGUUCAACCUACUCGCCGAUCAUGGAAAUAGUAGAAUAUAAAGCGACUCGGGUUCCUGAUUGCGUUCCUAGGUUGGUGACUGGUGCCAUCUCUGGAGCUCUCACGGGGCUUUUUGCUCUGGUUGGAGGUUUCACGGGAGCUAUUACUGGUGCUUUAGCUGGCUGCUCUUCUGAUUGUGGUGUACUUCGUGGGGCUGGAGUAGGGGCCGUUGAAGGUGCUGUGCUUUCUGUUGACGUUUUGGAGGCUUCUCACGCUUACCGGUCUUUGGAACAAUCUGGUUCACGGGGUCAUCCGUCUAUGGUUUAAAUUAUACUGCUGUUACCGGGAAAUUUAUGAAGAUCUUUCUGUCAGUGUCUUCAAAUAUAUGUUAAUUGUCUGUGUUUUUGGGUCCAGGUGGCAGAUUUUGUCCAAGAGCUUUUCCGUGGCAGCUUUGUAGAUGACCUGUUAUCACCACCAGUGCUAACUGCUUACCGUUUGCCGGUAAACAUUGCUAAUAUAAGUGACGACGACGAUGAUGAAGAUGAUGAUGAUGAUGGUGAUG